UCUAAUUUAGCAAAAUAUAAUGUAUCAAAUUUAGAAUUUGAGGAUGGGUUACCAAUUAGUA
rnacentral:tRNA from 1 species